GUCGGUGUCUAUGACGAAGAGGUUCCACCCGUUCCCAUUCCGAACACGGUAGUUAAGCUCUUAGGUGCUGAAAAUACUUGGCUGGAGACGGCCCGGGAAAAUAGGGCGAUGCCGACA
rnacentral:rRNA from 1 species